rnacentral:rRNA from 1 species
CUACGGAGGGUGCAAGCGUUAUUCGGAAUCACUGGGCGUAAAGGACGCGUAGGCGGGUUGGCAAGUCAGAUGUGAAAUCCUACAGCUUAACUGUAGAACUGCAUUUGAAACUGCUAACCUAGAGUAUUGGAGGGGGAGAUGGAAUUAGUGGUGUAGGGGUAAAAUCCGUAGAUAUCACUAGGAAUACCGAAAGCGAAGGCGAUCUCCUGGAAUAUAACUGACGCUAAGGCGUGAAAGCGUGGGGAGCAAACAGGAUUAGAAACCCUAGUAGUCC